rnacentral:rRNA from 1 species
UACGGGGGGAGCAAGCGUUGUUCGGAUUUACUGGGCGUAAAGGGCGCGUAGGCGGCGCAACAAGUCAGUUGUGAAAUCUCUGGGCUCAACUCAGAGCGGCCAACUGAUACUGUCGUGCUAGAGUGCGGAAGGGGCUACUGGAAUUCUCGGUGUAGCGGUGAAAUGCGUAGAUAUCGAGAGGAACACCUGUGGCGAAGGCGGGUAGCUGGGCCGACACUGACGCUGAGGCGCGAAAGCUAGGGGAGCGAACGGG